ACUACGGGUGGCAGCAGUGAGGAAUAUUGGUCAAUGGGCGCGAGCCUGAACCAGCCAAGUAGCGUGAAGGAUGACUGCCCUACGGGUUGUCAACUUCUUUUAUAAAGGAAUAAAGUUUGGCACGUGUGCCUUUUUGUAUGUACUUUAUGAAUAAGGAUCGGCUAACUCCGCGCCAGCAGCCGCGGUAAUACGGGGGAUCCGAGAGUUAUCCGGAUUGAUUGGGUUUAAAGGGAACGUAGAUGGGUUGUUAAGUCAGUUGUGAAAGUUUGCGGCUCAACCGUAAAAUUGCAAUUGAUACUGGCAGCCUUGAGUACAGUUGAGGUAGGCGGAAUUCGUGGUGUAGCGGUGAAAUGCUUAGAGAUCACGAAGAACUCCGAUUGCGAAGGCAGCUUACUAAACUGCCACUGACAUUGAUGCUCGAAAGUGUGGGUAGCAAACAGGAUUAGAUACCCCUGUAGUC
rnacentral:rRNA from 1 species